UACGAAGGGGGCUAGCGUUGCUCGGAAUCACUGGGCGUAAAGCGCACGUAGGCGGAUUGCUAAGUCGGGGGUGAAAUCCUGGAGCUCAACUCCAGAACUGCCUUCGAUACUGGCGAUCUCGAGUUCGGGAGAGGUGAGUGGAACUGCGAGUGUAGAGGUGAAAUUCGUAGAUAUUCGCAAGAACACCAGUGGCGAAGGCGGCUCACUGGCCCGAUACUGACGCUGAGGUGCGAAAGCGUGGGGAGCAAACAGG
rnacentral:rRNA from 1 species